rnacentral:rRNA from 1 species
GUAUUCAAUUUUGCCAGAGGACGGUCUUUCAUUAUAUCAAUUAGACCGAAAGUUAGGGGCAUCUGAAGAUGAUCACGAUACCGUCGUAGUCUUAACCAUAAACUAUGCCGACUAGGGAUCGGGUGUUGUCCUUUUUUUGGCGCACUCGGCACCUUACGAGAAAUCAAAGUUUUUGGGUUCUGGGGGGAGUAUGGUCGCAAGGCUGAAACUUAAAGGAAUUGACGGAAGGGCACCACCAGGAGUGGAGCCUGCGGCUUAAUUUGACUCAACACGGGGAAACUCACCAGGUCCAGACACAAUAAGGAUUGACAGAUUGAGAGCUCUUUCUUGAUUUUGUGGGUGGUGGUGCAUGGCCGUUCUUAGUUGGUGGAGUGAUUUGUCUGCUUAAUUGCGAUAACGAACGAGACCUUAACCUACUAAAUAGUGCUGCUAGCUUUUGCUGGUAUAGUCACUUCUUAGAGGGACUAUCGAUUUCAAGUCGAUGGAAGUUUGAGGCAAUAACAGGUCUGUGAUGCCCUUAGACGUUCUGGGCCGCACGCGCGCUACACUGACGGAGCCAGCGAGUAUCUACCUUGGCCGAGAGGUCUGGGAAAUCUUGUGAAACUCCGUCCUGCUGGGGGAUAAAGCAUUGUAAUUAUUGCUCCUCCACGAGGAAUUCCUAG